rnacentral:lncRNA from 1 species
UAAAUAUCUUACAGAUGAAAACAAAUCAAAUAUAUAUCGAUGAAGGUAUAAUGGAUUCAUAGUUUGAUUUUUCCUAUUGCCAUGGAAAUUUGGGGAAGCACUAGCCUAAUGGAAAGAAACUAAAUCCCAAAGACUGAAAUGUUUGGUCUUCCUUCAAACCAAGCACACAAAGGAGUGAAUCUGUUUAUACUUUUGUUAGUGGUAAACAUCAUAAGCACAAAUGCUUAUUCAAGCCAAAAAUUAGAGAAUGGUGGUAGAUGAUACAGUAUUGAGGAGUCUCUAAACAAAAAAAAAUGGCGGGUCCUCAGUAUGGUGCACCCCUAUCAGCUACAGCAGGGAGCUGCACUUCUGUUUGAUCCCUGAAUGUCCCCAAAGUUUAUGGGGACUCAGGUAUACCUAAUAAUAAUAUAGCAUAGCAUACGGUUCUCUUCCAGCAAAACUGAAAGCUCUUGGGAUAUUAUUUGAGGGCAGACUUUAAUCUUGACUCUCUGACUUUCUUUAAACCCCUUUAUCAUUGUCUGGCUUAAGGAGUUUUGUAAAAGAAGGCCGGCAUCCGGUGUAAGAAGGGCUCCUCGUUCCAUAGUUUUGGCGCCUGCUUCUGUAGCCCUUCAGCAUGCUGAAGUCUCAGUGAGAACAGCGGAAGAGACUGAUCAGGUAGUAAAACGAAAAGGAGAAACCACACUGCAUAAAUGCCCAGUCACAUUUCACUAUCCUGUGUUUCAUUUAUUUGUAGUGUGUUUUCGGUGUUCAGCCUACACCCAGGCACAGGAUUUAGGCACAGGCAGAGCUAAAGGGAGUCUGAGUAUGAGUGAUGUUAUAUUGGCAAUGAAGAUAACAUUUGUUUUAGGAUUUUUAGAAAAGAUGUAAUAAUUUAAAUAAUAAGCCAGUUUUUCAGCAUCUCAGCUCAAAAAAGAGGUGCCACAAAAAUAAGGAAGUUAGCUUGUAGGACUGCCAUGUGGGGGGUGAGCGCUGACUCAGAUUCUUAGGGUUCAAAACUUCCUUAAGUGGAAUAAAAGCCCAAAUUCCAUUUUCCA